CACCUGUUAGCAGUUUGGCUAGCUGUUGCAAGGUAGGCAUAGGCCACACUCCUCAGUGAGUUUAUGAGCUUGAAUUAGCUUUAUAGCUCAAAUAGUUCACCCAAAAAAGAAAAUUUGUUGAAAAUGUGUCCACCCAAAGACCAUCCAAGAUCAGAACAAAUUUUGCAUAACAUCAGUUGCUAAUCAGAGGAUCUUCUACAGUGAAUAGGUGCCGCCAGAAAGAGUCUAAUGCUGAUAAAAAAAUAAAAUAACAAAAAUAAUCCACACAACCAUCUUGUGAAGUCCUCACCAGCUCCCUCUUUCUCAGUGUGUGUCCCAUGUGAGGUGUGGUAAAGGCCCCAGCAUGUAGUGUAAAUGUCAAGGACUGAAGGAUACUGAAGAGACAUUGAAAGGAACAGUGAGGGGGAGCAAGUGACAUUUUGGAUGUGUCCCACGAGAGAACUCUGACGAACAGGAACAUGUUCACUCAGCAACAUUACGCGUCAAAAACACACAACAAGUUUCUUCUUUUCAGCAACAGUUGAAAUAAGGUUAAGGAAGGUAGGGAAGAAGUAAUAUAUGAAAAAGUUAAGUGACAGAAUAAGGCUGAGAGAUAUAGAGGAUCUUGUCAGGAAUAAAGGUAGAAAAAAGAAUAACAGAAUAAUCAGAGCAAUGGUGACUUAUCUGAUGGCUGACUUUUUUUCCCUCCACCUGUGACGUAAAAUUUUGUUUCAGUGUAUAGAUUCAGUGCUUUUCAGUUACUUUUCAUUGGAUUUUAUAUUAUUCUAUUAAAAUGUCAUUAGUAAACAGUUGGUAUACGGUUGCUUCUCAUGCUCUAGCCUUGCAUACAUGGAUAUUUUAAUUGUUUCUGAAAAUAUGAAUUGGUGAAUGGUAGAUUAGAAUACUAACUCCAAGAUAAGUGUUGUUUGGACAUCAAAAAUAUUAAUAUGUUAUGCAUCAAACCUCUCACGAAACCAAGAUGGAGAUCAGUGAUGUAAUAAACCAUCUGGAUGUAGUGGUGUGUUAAUUACAUACUUCUCAAAAAAAAAAAAACAAACAAAAAAAAUAGUUUGGAAGCACAAUUCAAAAGACCAUUCAUUAAAAGGACACAGUGUGUUUGUGUGUGUGUGUAUCAAACUAACUGCAUAAAAAAGAUCACUUUGUGUAUUCCCUGGUAAUCAUAACUAUGAUUUUGGCAUUGCUGUAGUGCUAUAUGUCUUUUUUCUGAGCUAAAGAAUUUGUUUGUACUCAUUCAUUCAUUCAUUCGUUUAUUUUACUUCAAAAUGAUUGCUAUUGGAUUUAGAGAUCUUGCAUAGUGCAAAAGUUACACAAUUACAAAAAUUCACAGUUACAAUGUCUAUUAAAUGGAUGGCUAUCAAAUUGGUUUAUGUAUGUAGAAGAUAUUACUAAUGUAUAGUAUU